AUUGAACGCUGGCGGCAGGCCUAACACAUGCAAGUCGAGCGCGCGGCGGACGGGUGAGUAAUGCCUGGGAGUUGCCCAGUCGAGGGGGAUAACAGUUGGAAACGACUACUAAUACCUCAUACUACUGGAUUGCUCAGGGGGGAUUAGCUAGUUGGUGAGGUAAUGGCUCACCAAGGCGACGAUCCCUAGCUGGUCUGAGAGGAUGGUCGGCCACACUGGAACGGAGACACGGUCCAGACUCCUACGGGAGGCAGCAGUGGGGAAUAUUGGACAAUGGGGGAAACCCUGAUGCAGCCACGCCGCGUGUGUGAAGAAGGCCUUCGGGUUGUAAAGCACUUUCAUCGAGGAGGCGUUACUCACAGAAAAAGCAACGGCUAACUCCGUGCCAGCAGCCGCGGUAAUUC
rnacentral:rRNA from 1 species